GUACGGAGGGGGUUAGCGUUGUUCGGAAUUACGGGGCGUAAAGCGCACGUAGGCGGACUGGAAAGUUGGGGGUGAAAUCCCGGGGCUCAACCCCGGAACUGCCUCCAAAACUUCCAAUCUAGAGAUCGAGAGAGGUGAGUGGAAUUCCAAGUGUAGAGGUGAAAUUCGUAGAUAUUUGGAGGAACACCAGUGGCGAAGGCGGCUCACUGGCUCGAUACUGACGCUGAGGUGCGAAAGCGUGGGGAGCAAACAGGAUUAGAAACCCCGGUAGUCC
rnacentral:rRNA from 1 species